rnacentral:rRNA from 1 species
UACGUAGGGUGCAAGCGUUGUCCGGAAUUAUUGGGCGUAAAGAGCUCGUAGGCGGCUUGUCGCGUCGGCUGUGAAAACCUGGGGCUCAACCCCGGGCCUGCAGCCGAUACGGGCAGACUAGAGUUCGGCAGGGGAGACUGGAAUUCCUGGUGUAGCGGUGAAAUGCGCAGAUAUCAGGAGGAACACCGGUGGCGAAGGCGGGUCUCUGGGCCGAUACUGACGCUGAGGAGCGAAAGCGUGGGGAGCAAACAGG